UUAUGCUAGAAAGAGCGCAGGGUGGAUGCCUUGGCACUAAGAGCCGAUGAAAGACGUGAUAAGCUGCGAAAAGCUUCGGGGAGGAGCAAAUAUCCAACGAUCCGGAGAUCUCUGAAUGGGGAAACCCGGCUGAGGAAACCUCAGUCAUCCAUACGCCAAUCCAUAACGUAUGGAAGGGAACCCGGUGAACUGAAACAUCUAAGUAGCCGGAGGAAGAGAAAGAAACAUCGAUUCCCAAAGUAGCGGCGAGCGAAAUGGGAAGAGCCCAAACCGGGAUGCGAGCAUCCCGGGGUUCGGACCGCGGAAGUGAUUCAACAAGUUUAGCAGAAUGGUUUUGGGAAAGCCAGCCAGAGAGGGUGAAAGCCCCGUAAGCGAAAGACGAGUUGACAUGGCGGGAUCCAGAGUACCACGAGACACGAGAAACCUUGUGGGAAAGAGCGGGGACCACCCCGUAAGGCUAAAUACUCCUUAGUGACCGAUAGCGCAUAGUACUGUGAAGGAAAGGUGAAAAGGACCCCGGGAGGGGAGUGAAAGAGAACCUGAAACCCUGUGUUUACAAGCUGUGGAAGAACUUUAUAGGUUCAACCGCGUACUUUUUGUAGAACGGUCCGGCGAGUUGCGCUGGCUGGCGAGGUUAAGCACGGAAGGUGUGGAGCCGAAGGGAAACCAAGUCUUAAUAGGGCGAGAAGUCAGACGGAGCAGACCCGAAACCGGGUGACCUAUCCAUGUCCAGGCUGAAGCUGCCGUAAAAGGCAAUGGAGGGCCGAACCCACAUCCGUUGAAAAGGGUGGGGAUGAGGUGUGGAUAGGGGAGAAAUUCCAAUCGAACCCGGAGAUAGCUGGUUCUCCUCGAAAUAGCUUUAGGGCUAGCCUCAUAAAAGUCUUGCGGAGGUAGAGCACUGAAUUUCCUAGGGGGCGUCAAAGCUUACCGAAGAAUAUCAAACUCCGAAUGCCGCGUAGAUGAUUUAUGGGAGUCAGACUGCACGAGAUAAGUUGGGCAGUCGAAAGGGAAAGAGCCCAGACCUGCAGCUAAGGUCCCAAAAUGUGUGUUAAGUGGAAAAGGAUGUGGGAUUUCAAAGACAACCAGGAUGUUGGCUUAGAAGCAGCCAUACAUUAAAAGAGUGCGUAAUAGCUCACUGGUCGAGAGGUCCUGCGCCGAAAAUGUCCGGGGCUGAAACACACUACCGAAGCUCAGGAAUCAGAACAUGAUUGGUAGAGGAGCAUUGCAUACGGGAAGAAGCAGUACCGAUAAGGAGCUGUGGACUGUAUGGAAGAGAGAAUGCCGGAAUGAGUAGCGAGAGGAAGGUGGGAAUCCUUCCGGCCGAAUAUCUAAGGUUUCCAGAGUAAAGCUGAUCUGCUCUGGGUAAGUCGGGGCCUAAGGCGAGGUCGAAAGACGUAGUCGAUGGACAACAGGUUGAAAUUCCUGUACCACGUAUAUACAGAACUGUGGGGACGCAGUGAGAGAGCACAACCGGGAAUGGAAAGCCCGGGGCAAGCGAGGUAGGAGUACGGAAGGCAAAUCCGCCGUGCAAUCCGAAGACGUGAUGCGGACCGAAAAAGAAGUAGGGAAGAGUGUGAGCUAACUGCCAAGAAAAGCCGCUAUUGUUAUAUACGUGCCCGUACCGUAAACCGACACAGGUGGAUGAGGAGAGAAUCCUAAGGCCGACGGGAGAAGCAUUGUUAAGGAACUCGGCAAAAUGACUCCGUAACUUCGGGAGAAGGAGUGCCAGUGAGAGCUGGCCGCAGAGAAUAGGCCCAAGCAACUGUUUAGCAAAAACACAGGUCUAUGCAAAACCGAAAGGUGAAGUAUAUGGGCUGACGCCUGCCCGGUGCUGGAAGGUUAAGGGGAGAGGGUAGCCGCAAGGCGAAGCUUUGAACUUAAGCCCCAGUAAACGGCGGCCGUAACUAUAACGGUCCUAAGGUAGCGAAAUUCCUUGUCGGGUAAGUUCCGACCCGCACGAAAGGCGUAAUGA
rnacentral:rRNA from 1 species